UAGGUAGGAUUUAUCUUUUACCUAGCCUUAUGUUCCCCAGGUUUGGGCCUUCUAGGUUCAUUGGUUUGCUGUCAGUAUUUCAGCUUUUAUUUUAAGGUUUCACUUCAUUUUGACCUAUAUGGGUAAAUGAAAAUGGAGCUGGCAAUCAAACAGGGUUUUUGCUAGCUGCUUGAAACUUCACACACUCAAUCAGUUCCCUGUGAGGACGCUCUGGUUUUAUCCUUGUGAAAGUAUCCCAAAGAUGAAGCAUGAAAAACAACUCUAUGCAAGAGCAUUUUAGGAGACAACAUGAAAAUAUGCAUGUACUGAACUACCUCCCCCAAUCAUUUGGUGUGAUUUCUUUAAUACUGGGCAAGAUUCAUCUGUUAGCUUUCCCCACUAGGCUCCACAACUUUGAGACUUCUAUGAUCAAAGGUUCUCUAAACAGGUUAGUGUUAGGCUUAUGUUUAGAGUUAGGUCUAGUGUUAGGGUUAGAGUUUGUCUUGUUCAAAUUUCUUUGAUACUGGGCAGGAUACAUUUUUACCUAGCCUUACUAUGUUCCCCAGGUUUCGGCCUUCUCAGUUCAAUUCUUUGUGUGGAACAAUUUGUAUUUUACAGAU
rnacentral:lncRNA from 1 species